rnacentral:sRNA from 1 species
AGACACAGUGUCGAAUGCCUUGGCGAAGU